rnacentral:rRNA from 1 species
UACAGAGGGUGCUAGCCGUUGUUUCGGAAUCGAUUGGGCGUAAAGGGCGUGUAGGCGGUUUGUUAAGUCAUGUGUGAAAUACCCUCGGCUCAACCGGGGAACGACGCAUGAAACUGGCAGCUAGAGUACCAAAGAGGGGGGUGGAAUUCCCGGGUGUAGCGGUGAAAUGCGUAGAUAUCGGGAGGAACACCUGUGGCGAAGGCGGCCCCCUGGUUGGAU